rnacentral:tRNA from 2 species
GGGUCUGUAGCUCAGUUGGUUAGAGCGCUACGUUGACAUCGUAGAGGUCUGCAGUUCAAAUCUGCACAGACCCACAA